UAUUAAUUUGGCCGAAAUGUGGCCCAAGUCCGAUAUGUGAGACUGUAUAUACAUCGAGAGCGUCAGUACUAACAGACAUUUUUCGUACAGGGUUAUUUCAAUACAUAUAGGACGUCAGGUGGAAUAGAAAAUUGCGCCCUUUUAUAAUAAAAAGGAAGAUAUUGACAAACGGGAAGAUAAUUAAUUUCAAUUUGUCAUGCAAAUUCGUAAGAAGCAAUGUUCUUCGAGUGAAAAUUGAAAAAGUGAAGAUUUAUUGUAGUUUCUGUUUAAUAUUUUUGUGUUAAAUGAAUUUAUAAAAGAAUGGAAAAGUAUUGCAAAGAUUUAUUUAAAAAAUAUGUCAAAUUCAAAGCGGCGCGAAAUUGAAAAAAGGAUGUAUAUAGUAUAUUUAGAGGUAUUCCAAUAUGUCAUCGUAUUCCUGAAUGGUUUCUCACUGGCUCCAAUUACUCCAUGGGGAUAAAACUUUGCACAAAUAGUGCAUUUAAGGAAUGUCAUCUAAGGUCUAAAAAUGUCAAAAUCGGACCAUAACUUUUCAAGCCCCAAAAUACCGGAAAUGUGGACCCUAGAGCCUAUGGUUGACUUUCUACCAAAAAUAUGGGUCAAUGUGUGAGAUAUAUAAUCAAAAUCAGGAGAAGAUCCUUUCUUGAUAAUACUAGGUUAUGUUUGUGUAUGCUAUUUUUAUUGAAGCUUAUGGCUGCUUAUUUGCUUCGGUCAAUUUACAACAUGCGCUACCACAAAUAUACAAAACAAGGCUGAGAUGAGGAUGCUGUCCUGCAACCUAAUUACGAAACGCUGAUAUAUUGUUGAACCACUAUAGCAUGUAGCUGCCAUACAAAUUGAACGGACAAAAUCAAUUUUUUCUAUGGAAAACCUUUUUAUUUGACGGGAUAUCUUCACAAAAUCUGGCAUUGAUUAUUAUCCAAGGUAACGCUGCAAUACUCGAAGAAAUUUUCCUGUUCGGACCACCAUCGCAUACAGCUGUUAUACAAAGUAAACGAUCAAAAUCAAGUAAUUGUAUGGACUUUUUUUUAUUUAAGAAGAAAAUGUUUGAAAGAAAACACUCUACACUGCAGCAUAACGACCUAUAAUGAAUGCAAAUCAAGAAAAGCCACACGGAAUAGAAUUUAUACGAUUUCCCGUGAAAACGUCGUUUGAGCUGGAAAAAGUCAUACGCACCGUCUAUAAGCCUUGAAAGUAAAACAAUUUCGAAGGGAAGCAACAGGCAAUGCAACAAAUACAAUAAACACAAUAAAAGACGUGACUAAAAAUAUAAAUAACCUUCUCAACAACAACAAACAAAUAAAUAAAUAAAAUUUGACCGGUGAGACGAAUGGAGCGGACAAGCAAAACAAAACCACGAAAAUAUACAUACAUAUGUACAAGUAUAUAAAUAUACGAAGAUAAGUGCGUAUGCGUAAGUUUAAACAGUAAGAUAGGGAAAAUAAGAAAUAUUGUAGGCUGCACGAAUCUCAAACGUAUAUAUUUAUGUGUUUGUAUGUAAGUGGCCUGAAGCGAUAAGGAUCUGCCUAAGACUACAUAAAGUAGUGGUUUCAAAUGAACGCAAUCCGUGCAGACGUUUAAACAUUUGGGUUGGGGGAAAAGUGAAGAUAAUUUUCUAAGCCAACAGGUAGGUCAAUUGUAACUUGAGCAGAGCGCUGCAUGCGUUGCAUUUUUCGUUUUAUUUCCGCCUUUUAGCCGCCGGUUAAAACCUGUUAACGAACGUUUACACUGCUCAAACUUAGCGCUAAGUAAAUUUGUAUUGUAGAUAAGGUUGCAGAUACAUAGGAAUGUACAUAGAUUGCUUACGCCUAUGUAAUCGUAAUGUUGGAAGCGAACAACAAACUCUCAAUUGAAGAAGAAAAGUGAAAUGUGUUCAUGGCGCCUAACGCUGGCAUUGAAUGAAUAAAUGUAAUAUAAUAUUUUAAUAUUUUGCAAUUUCAGGGUUAACCCAAAAAAUGGCAAUUGUGCUGUGAACAAUUGCUGAGGCAGCAAAAAGAAAUUAUAAUAUGUAUGUAUUGUAUAUGAAUCAUCAUUCUAACAGAUAUACAAACACAUCUUUAUUGUUGUACAGUUUAAACACUAAAACACUAAUAUAAUAGCAUAUUUUUAUUGUAUUGACUACGGUAACUCUGGUUGGUGUUAAGAACUUAGGUCAUCGACGUCAACUAAUUAGUAGUUCAAAUUAGCUGCUUUGACGAGAUUGGCCGUUAGGAACAAAUGUUUAAGAUGAGCAAUCAUUUGAUAAGGGUAUCAACAAAAACGUGUUCGUGUGUGGAAAUAUUUGUUUGCAUAUUUGAUAACGCUAGGCAAAAUUGUAGGGUAGAGCACAACACUCGCACUAAUUUUAGAAAUACUUGUAGCACAUGAUACUUGUAUAUUGAAUAAAUAAAGAAUAUAAAAAUUAUGAUUGUUAUAGCGGUAAAAAACAUUCACAAAAUAAAUUAAAAGAAUAAUGCCGAGUGGGUAGUCCUACACAUAUGUACAUGUUCGAUUCUUCUGAGCAAAGGGAAUAAUAAUACUAAAUGUGAAGGCAGUCGUGUACAUUUCUCCAUAUUAAAUACAAUUCGUAUAACUAUUUAUAUUUUUACCU